UCAACUUUUUUCCCAAUUUUAGUAAUAUAUGAUAAGAUGAUUGAUAAUUAGAAAUUGUGGCAACUUAGUUUCUUGCUUCAAUGAGAAGCUGGCAAGUUUCUUGCUUAAGUGAGAAACUAAAUGCAUUGCAGUCUUGUAGCUGUUGCAAUUUACUUAUGAUCCACCUUAACAUUGGAAUUAUUGUUUCCCUCUUGGUGUCUAUAGAUGGUUUUCAACACGGUAUUUUACUAGGGAUUCGUGUUAAGCUUGAUAGCAUAUGUAUGUGUCUGUUCAAGAAUCGUCACUACGGUUUCCUCUCUUGAUUAAUCACCCAUUGCAAGGUAAUAUUCUUUUAACUAUUUGCUUUUUGUUUGUGAGGUCGUUUGUGGAUGCUGCAAGUUAGUGUUUACCAAAUUAGUCUGUUCAUGUAACUUCCUGUGUCGAAAAAUGUUAUAGCUGUGAGAUGCAACACUGGAUGUAGGAGCUCCCUUAUACUAUGUGACUUACCAUGGGAAUGCAACAAGUAAUUUAACAAACUCUAGUUUAAGGUAAAUCUGCUCUUGUCAUUUGGUCUUUAAAGGUCAAUUGAAAAGCAUUGGAACUUUUUUUCUCAAGUUCCUCAGGAAGGUAUAUAGAUGUCGUUCUCAAAUUGUAACAUUUUGAUGAUUCUUUAGCUGAAGUGGUUAGUGAAGUUGUUUCUUUCUUUUCUUUGCUUUCGCUGGGAAGCACAUUCAUGUUGAUAUAUGUUUCAAACAAUAAUUAAUGGGGAUUAGAAAAUAUUAUGAUACCAUAUGUCAGGCUACUCUAAGCAGUGUCUGUAUGGUCGUUUAUUCUAGAAAUUAAUAAGUUGUGUUUCAUACUAGAGAGGGUCAUAGAAAGAGGUUAGAUUUCAUCAUCACAUGAUACUUGGCAUUUUUAUUUGAGCAUGUUACUUAUGAUGUCCUUUUAGUCUCUUUUUCUGAUGCAUUACUAGAGUUCUACACAAGUAAGAUUUUCAGGUCUAAUUCAUCAAAAUAGCUUAUUUUUGGUUGAUCCUUAUAUGAGGAGCAUGUCUAAUACAUCACAUGAUGUCUUACAAAAGAAGAAAAACAUUUGCAUCUUUGUGAAUAUCCAUGGAAAUCAUCAUGACUGGCUUUCUCCAAAGGUAGUUCUGUCUUGUCCCUAGGAUUGAACUACAUGUGGGAGAUCGAUGUAUUAGUGUUGGUGUGGCUUGGUCAACACACUCUACACAUUUCUGAAUUGAGCUCAACUUCACACCACACAUUUUUGAAUUGUUCUUGACAGGCGGAAUUUCAUAAACUUGAUUUGGUAGCUUUACAUUUUUAUGUUUCAAGGUAAUUACUCAUCCUUAUGUUCUCUUGUAUCUCUGCAGUACCAAGGUACUAAGUCCAAUAAUAAUAUUAGCUCAAGCUAUCAAAGUUACUCAUCAUCAUAUGCAUUUUCUUGCAAUUAUAAUGAUCUUUUCGGAAUCAACAUGUGGUGGAUGUGUAGGAGUACUUCAGUACAAAAUAGUGUACUCACCUUGCUGACUGACCAUGGCAUGUUGGGGUAAUAAACUUGAUGAGGUGACUGUGAAUUAUGAAUAUUUUCGAGAUUCUCCUCCAUUGGAAACUUACCUCUUGAGGUUGUUGCAAGGUUGAGUUUUACAGGUGACUGAAUUAUGAAUAUUAGCCAUUGAUUGCUAGAUUCUCUUUCAGGUGACCUCGUGUUAAAUCCCCGUGUUUCUCAUGCUUCAGAGUAAGUUUUGCGGUCACUUGUAUAAAGAUUGAGAUGGGAAGGAGGUCAAAAGAUAAUCAUAUCGAAACUGCAGCAGCAUUAAAUACAUGAACUAUAACUAACUUAAGUUAAACUGUUAUCUCCAACGUCAGGAGAUUUAGUCAGAGUGUAAUAAAACAGUAAUAUGAGAAGGAGAUGAGUUAAAUAUUAAUAUCAUCAUGUAUUACUAAAAAUGGAAGAAAUAAAGUUAAAAGUUGAAUUAUCAUUUUUUGGUUGAUGCUUCUACUGAUUAUUGAGAUCUUCAAUUCAAUUUUCUUGCCUAAUCAGAAUGGUGUCCUUCUCUGUUGUCAAAUUCCUUCACUGGUGUUUAUUUUGUUACCAUGUUUGUUUUUUAAUAAUCCAGAUGUUUAUGUUCAUUGGUGAUUCAACUUAUACUGAUGAGAUCUCCAUGGCUAUCGACAAUUCAUGAUAAGUGUAUUCAAACUCAAUUGUGGAUCUUUUGAUGUCCCGGCCACAUGGUGGUAGUAAGAGGAUAAGAUUUGGAAAUUUUGUAGUUUGGUUUCGAUGUGCAUCCUUGAGGACCAUGUUUGUUUCCAUUUUGGUGCUUACACUGCAAUUUGGAUAUUGGAUAUCAUCAGGCAUCAAGCAAAGGGCGCUUUGCCUUGUUUGGCAUCUCUAGUGAUCUCUCCUACGUGGUAUGGGUUCCCAUUACCUGUAACAUUCUUUUUGUGCAUGUAACUGUUUGGGUCUCCUAGAGCAUGAACUUCAAUGUAGUUCCUUCCUAAUCAGCGGGUCCCUUUUGUCUUUGUAAAACCUAGUGGAAGUGCUCAACAUGGAUAUUUUCCACUAGCGUAUGUUGUACUCUGUAGCCAUAAAGUUUUUAGUCUAGAUGAUUAUUUUCUUGGAUGAUCCAUAUGACGAGAUCGCUGAUUGUUAUGGACACCUGAGAAGUAUCCAAACUCAAUUUUAGAUUUUCUUAUGGACCUAAGAUCUCCUCCACUGUGGUGUUCUUGCUACUUAUAGUCUCUGCUUCUAUUUUCUUAUGUUUAUCAUGCCACUUGAUUUUGUUUGUUUGGAUGCAUGUUUGUAGACCACAUGGUGACCCGUGAGGGGAUCAAAUUUGGUAAUUUCGAAGUUCGGAUCAGAUUUUGUAGUUUCGAAGUUUGGUUUCAGUGUGUCCUCUCCUUUUGCACCCUGUUUCUUUGCCAUAUUGGUGCUUGCGCUUGCACUGCAAUGUGGAUAUCCCCAGGCACUGGCAAGGGAUUUAUGCAGUCUUGUCUGGCAUCUCAUCUUGUGAUCUCUCCUAUAUGGUAUGGGUUUUGCAGCUUGCGCUUUCACUGUUCCCUUCUUUUUGUGUCAGCUGUUGUUGGGUCUUAAAAUAUCCAUGAAGUCUUCCUUUCAUGGAGCAGCCUUGUUUGUCUUUGUGUUGAGGUUUCCAUAGUUCAGGCUUUGUAUUAGUAUCUAGCUCUUCGAUUCAGUCUUCUUCCCUGGUCAUAGAGAUUCCUUUGUCUCAUUAUCAAAAGUGUUUGUCUUUCCACAAGUGCAUUUUCAGUUUUGGGUCCAGAUGCUUUUGUUUUUUCAGAUCCAGGUCUCUUAUGGGUGUGGACAUCUGGUAAGUACUAACUCAUUUCUGGAUGUUUUCAUAGCCCCGUGAAGUGCUCAUCU